rnacentral:rRNA from 1 species
GGCGGGCGCUUACACAUGCAAGUCGAGCGAGAAAGGGGAGCAAUCCCUGAGUACAGCGGCGUACGGGUGAGUAACACGUGGGUGAUCUACCUUCUAGUGGGGGAUAACCCUGGGAAACCGGGGCUAAUACCGCAUAAGCCUGAGAAGGGAAAGCAGCAAUGCGCUGGAAGAAGAGCCCGCGGCCGAUUAGCUAGUUGGUGAGGUAACGGCUCACCAAGGCGGUGAUCGGUAGCCGGCCUGAGAGGGCACACGGCCACACUGGCACUGAAACACGGGCCAGACUCCUACGGGAGGCAGCAGUGGGGAAUCUUGCACAAUGGAGGCAACUCUGAUGCAGCGACGCCGCGUGAGCGAUGAAGCCCUUCGGGGUGUAAAGCUCUUUCGGCAGGGACGAUAAUGACGGUACCUGAAGAAGAAGCUGCGGCUAACUACGUGCCAGCAGCCGCGGUAAUACGUA